UAGAGAAUCACACGACGACGGCCGCAGUCAGUUCGCGCCGUCUCUGUGGCCACUUUGCCUUAAAUUUGAGGUUGCAUCGCCGGUCCGCACAAGCCUUUGAUGCCCAUCCGACCGUCGUCACCCUUAAUGCCUGAAAAAAAUCACAAAAAUUGAAGCCGGCAGAGAAAAAAAACCAGGAGGCGAGGUGGUCUUACCGACUGGUCCUGUAGCCCCAGUGUAUCCCAUUAGGCCUUUGGGACCCGGUGCUCCAGGCGCUCCAUCUGCACCCUGGAAACAUUUCCUUCAGUUCUUUCAAACAAAACUUUGGGUGAGACCGCAUCUAUGAGGUGACGGCGCAAGUGCUGACCGGGCUGCCUCGCGGGCCAGGAUCACCGUGGCAACCUGGGCUUCCCGUGUUACCGGUUGCCCCUUUAGAGCCUUUCUCCCCUUUCAGACCAGGUCCCGGCGGUCCAGGAGGGCCUCGACAGCCCGGUUGACCUACGAGCAAAGUGGAAACUCACAAUCCUACGGGAACAAUCGGCUUUUCCGCCAAGUCGAGUCACAUUGAUGAAUAUAGCCCUUAAUAAUAAGUCAACCUCUUGGUCCCUGCUGUCCUCGCAGUCCUUUUGCUCCUUUUUCUCCUGCAAUGCAAGGUCCCUGGCUGCCACGAAGACCAGCGGGUCCAGGUGACCCAGGUGGACCAGGACAACCCGGAUUUCCUUGAGGGCCAGGAGGCCCCGGAUGACCGCAAGUACCAGGAGGUCCUCUUUCUCCGACGCAGCCUGAGAACAAGCGUUAAGAUUUUUUUUCUCUUCCAAACAAAUAACAAAGAUGUUCCAAACUCACCCGGUGAACCCUUUUUCCCGUCAGGUCCCCUCGCGCCAGUUCCAGGUUCUGGAGAAAGAGAAAAACCCGCUCAGGCACCUGUAAGACCGCUCGGUCCUGGAGGUCCACUGACCCCAGGAGGUCCAUCACAAGCUUUUUCACCAGGAGAACCAGGAAGACCUGAGACAAAGAGCAAACGUUCACCAUGAUCUGGUUAUAUGAAAUCCAACAUUGAAUCAAGACUAAGACCUCUGCAACCAGGCAGUCCGGCAUUUCCUUUAGGGCCACCGAGACCACGAGCGCCCGGAGGACCAAAGUCUCCUCUGUCUCCUGGCAUUCCUUUGGUACCAGCGGGACCUGCGCAAGCUGGCUGUCCCUGGAAGAAGUGAUUGAUAAGACCGACUGGAGACUUUGUGCCAGAAGCGAUAGCGUGGCGAUCUUCUGCUUAUUGACAUACAAAACAGAACUUGAUAAAAGAUAGUCUUUUGCAUUGAUCUGAACUGGUCAUUUGACGUCGGAGAAUUAAA